UCAGAGGUUGUACCUCACAACCUCUGAGGAUGCCUGCCAUAGAUGUGGGCGAAACGUCAGGAGAGAAUACUUCUGCAACAUGACCGUACAGCCCGGAAAAUGCACAACAACCCUAUGAUUCCGGCCAUGAAAGCCUUCAACAACACAUAUGAGUCAGAUGUUUGUAACUCGGGGACUGCCUGUACAUAUAAGUCUAAACUACAAACAUACGAGCACAUACAUUAAUUUUAAAAAUGGAUUUCUUUCUUUUUUGGUUUCUCUGUAAUUCAUUAUUUUUUCUUCCACCUUAUGACCCACAAAUAGUUUACUUUGCUUAUCUUAACAUUAACAUGUAUCUCAACCAUUUUUAUUGCCAAACCUAUACUUAGUGCCUUUCCCUUUCCCUUAGAUAUAUAUCAGUAAAAAGGUUUCCAUUUUUCUAUGACUGUGUCCAGUGACUUAUCCCUCUACAGCACUGUUAACAUGUCUAUUUCUAUUAUUUCCCACAUCUUUACUGUUACAGUUUACUGUUGGUAUCUGUCUUAUUCCAUUUUGGAGCAUAUGAUAUUCCUACCACUGUUAGCAUGCACUGCGGUAUACUUUAAUUAUCCUUUUUCAUUUGGUCAUCCAACAGUCCUAGUAAUAUACAUUCUGGUUUGAAGUUGAUUCUUGUCUUAAGGAUUUCUUGUUUACUCGAUGAAUUUAUUUAUAUGAAACGUAUAUGGAUUUGGAGCAAAGACAUAAUUAUCUCAGCCACCUAUGUGUGCUGUUUUGGAAUUUCAGACAAGGGAUGCUCAGUCCAUAUGUACUUAUUGAAUUUUGCACCUCUGCUGCUUAAUCACAGUUAAGUGUUAAAUGGAAGCAGGGAUCGCAGACUAAGGGUGUGUUUAUGCUGUGGAAUUAAUGCAUUUUAAUUUAUUUUAAUUUCUAAGUCCUCUUUCCUCUGCUUUCCUCAUAAUGAUGGUAAAGUUGUAAUGGGCAUGUUUACAGAGAAAUUCUGCUGAAAACAUAGGAGAGUGCAAUCUACACUGCAGAAUUAAAGCAGUUUAACAUCACUUUAACUGUCAUAUCUCAUUUCUGUAGAAUCCUGGGAGUUGUAGAGGCACCAGAAUACUUUGGCAAGAAGGCUAAGGACCUUAGCCUUCUAAGGUCUCCCACAUUUCCAUAGUGUUGAGCCAUGGCAGUUAAAUUGAUGUCAAACUGCAUUUGUUCUACGGAGUAUAUGCAUGCUGAGUGUACCUCUUAUCCAAAAUGCUGGCGACUGUAAGUGCUCUGUAUUUUUGAAUUCAAAAUACUUGUAUCUACAUCAUGAGAUAUCUUGGAGUGAGACCCAAGGCUAAACACGAAAUUCAUGUAUAUUUCAUAAACACCUUAUACACAUGACCUGAAGGUUAUUUUAUAAACAAUAUUUAAAUACUUCUGUGAAUGAAACAACAAUGGUGUGCAUUGAACCAUUGGACAGCAAAGGUGUAAUUGUCACAGCUAUCUACAUGGACAAUUUUUUAAAAUUAUUUUGGAGUUUCGGAUAAGGGAUAAUCAACCCGUAAACUUAAAUGGAGACACAGAUCAUUGAGACUCAAGGUGAAUCUGUACUGUAGAAUUAAUGCAGUUUGAUACCACUUUACUUAACAUGUCUCAGUGCUAUGUGAGUUCAGUAAAUUGCCACAUUUAUUGACAGGGCAGAUAUCUUAGUUAAUAGGAUUGUGCUAGAUGCCUUUUGGUCUGCAACUUUGCAUAUAUGUGUGUCUACCACCACGUCACCUAUUGGUUUAUGACAACUCAUGAAUUUCAUAGAGUUUUGUUAAGCAAAGAAAACCCAAAGGUGGUUUUGGCAGGCACACCACAACAAACCCACCAUCUCAAUAAUGAUCAGGGCCAAUCCUGCCUGGUAUCAAAGGUAAGAUAAGAUUUGGUACAUUUAGGAUAGGUAGGCUUCCAUUUACCUAAAUAAAGCAUAUAUAAGGUUGUGUUGCAAGUCCCCAUCAUAUAAAUAAACCAAAAACAUAUUAUUAUUCAUAUGAUUACAUUAGUAGGGUUGCUCUGUUAUAAGGCACAGGUUCGGAACAUAAACUGUUCUAUAUCAUUAUAGUGUGCUGUCUUAAGAGAUAUGAAGUUUGUAUGGCGUUUCUCAGUUCUACAGGCCAGAUAACCCAUGAGCAUUAUCUCUGUUCCCUGUUCACAUAUGUGGACAACAGGGAAAAACAUAGUAAUUGAAUUCAGAUUUGUGAGGUUUUUUAAUUUGGUAGUAUUUUUUCAAUACUAUGUGUUACCUUGAUUCAGGCUGUUCUAUAUUACAUCUGAUCUUUUAGAGAUGAAAGUACUCUUUGCCAGUUGCAGUUUGAUACAGAAGCACCAAGCUGAAAACAUAGGGAGACCUCAUAAAGCCUAAUCAAUGAAAAAGCAACAAUGACUCAUUGGCUAAAUAAAAGACAUUGCCAUUUAUUCUGUUUCCUUGACCCUAUUGUGUUGUAAUUUUAGAAGUAGUCCAUGUUAUCCUUGUGAAUGCUAGCAUUUUGGUCCAUUGUGACAAUGUGGUCAUUUCUAGAACAGUUAUUGGGAAAUGGGCAUUUCUGUGACAGUGUAUUAACUAAUCCUGUAGGAGGAGUGCUAUACUGUAGGAGUUGAAUUGUUUUGGAAAUCUUUCAGUAAUCACUGCUUAUUAAGUAGAAUAAGUAUGUGAAAUAGGAAACAAAAUGCUUUGAUUGCAAGCUCAGAUAUCACAACAGUGCUAUUUAUUUUAGUUCAGUCACAAACACAUUGUAUAAAUACUGUUGAUCAAUAAAAAAUGUUUACUUCUAAGGGCGCAUCUACACUGCAGAAUUAAUGCUAUAAAUUAUGAGAGUUGUAGUUUUGUGACGCACCAGCACUCUUUGGCAGAGAAGACUAAAGACAUUGUUGAACUACAACAUCUGUUAUUCCACAGUAUAGAUGCACUAUGACUAGAAGUAUAUAUAAUAUUGAACAGUGAGGCAGAUAGAAUACUGCAACUUUAAAUUUUCUGGUUUUAAAAGGAAGAGUUCACUAGAAUGAACUUUCUAGUUCAAGAAUGCUGUUAGUCAUUCUUCUGGAAAAUUUUGAUGCAUAUGUAUGAAUGUACACAUCUGAGAUACACGUGCAUCUUUAAUGGAUAAGGCUGAAAUUUGUUCAGAUCUCCCUGGAUGUAGCAGAAGAAAAGUAUCCUGUUGUGCUCUGUCUGAAAGGGAAACUAUUUGAGUUACUCAAGUUGAUCAAAUCAUGGUUUACAUUUUUUUGGCUCCUUUAAAAUGUUCAAAAUUGUUGAUAUCUGUAUGCCACCCUAAGAAAUUUUCUUAUAUGGGAAGGGAAAUGAGUGAUUCUUGACACAAUUUUUGUUAGCAAUACUAAAAAUGUUUCUUAACAUUGAAUUGGUAAUUUGGGACUCACUGGCUCCUAUAAUUAUUUAUAAAUGAUGCCCCAUGGAUUGAUCAGUAGCAUGGUACUACUUAGCACAAACGCUUUGGAGUAUUUUCCUGAUGAACAUCGUUAUAUGUAAUAGGAUCAUAGAGUACGCUAUGUGCAUUGAGAAUUUGGGAAAUAGAUUCAGGAACUGUGCAUGCCUGACUAAUUGAAGUGUUGUAUCUAGCCAUUAUUUUUAUGCUUCAGUAAUUUAUUGAUAUAAAUACUGAGGUGAUUGUGGUGUGAAAUGGCAUGUACUUGAAUUGCUUAAUUAAUAUAAAACACCAUUAUGUUUGCUGUAGUGUUAUGACUAUUGCAUAUUUAUAUUCUGUAAUAUUAUUUUAAAUGCUUUAAAUAUAUGUUGAAAAAAUGUUAUUGAGUGUCCCAACCUAUAAAAUGUUUAAUUACUAAAUAGGCUUAAUUGGAAAUAGUGAGGAUGCAAAAAAUGAAUUAGCUCUUUGUAAAAUAGUACACGCUGCUUUCUACCCCUCUUUGAAGAAAAGUCCUUUAGAGAUUCUGGUUCAAAUCAAAACUUUCUGUUUUUUAAAAAUAUAUAACAACACUGUUCUGGAUGAGAAUCUCUAAACUUCUUUCCUUCAAAGUGGGAGAGAAAGCAAGGUGUUUAAAAAUGGGAGACUGUUUCCAGAUAACCCUCAAUUAGGUUAUGCUUUGUUCAAAAUUGAGACUGAAAGAUUGAACAUUUAUCCUCACAUGUGCAAAGCAGAAAAGAAGGCCUGGGUAAGCACUUUCUGUAUCAGAAAAAAAAUUGGCCUGUUGUGGUUUAAUUAGAUUUUUCAAAAUGUUGGCAUGAUUACUGAAAGCUGCACCUUAUUGUGAGCACAUCAGCCCAGAAUAACCCAAUGUUCACAGGCUUAUUCAGAUCUUCUCCAUACAUAUAAACUUGGCCUGGAAACCCUGGGCAAGUUCCCUGUGUGUAUUCAAGAUACACAUAUCUUGAAUAUCUUCAUGUUGGUGUGGCGAUCUGAAGACCGCAUAUGAGUGUUUCCUUGUAUAUAGCUGUCCAGUUGGAAUAGUUGAUCAGGGAAGUAUUCUAAUCAUAAAGAAGGCUUCAAGCUAGUUGCUAUUCAUAUUCAAGGUUUCCCCUUGCACAGAUCCAUGUCAAAAUGCAGAUAUAUGUGAUGGAGGUGGACAUAGCCUGUCAAUUAGGACAUUGAGAAUGACAGUAGCAGUGAUACCAUUCUUCCUUCUCAGCAUGUAGACUCUACAAACAUAUACCUGAAUUUUCUAAUUCAAAUAAUCACAAACAUACCCUGAGUCUAUAAUAGUGCAAGCAGAUUGUGGCUGAGCUAGUUACAAAAAACAUAUAACUUCUUUAUUGAAACAGCUUCACUGGCUACUGGGUCAUUUGAAAGCACAAUUCAGAAUUCUGGUUGUGACCUAUACAACUCUGUAUGGCUUGGUGCAGAUUAUCUGAAAGACCAAGUUUUAAAUUCUUUGAGGAAUGACUUUUUCCCAUUUGCCUGCUGUUAGCCCCAGCUCCUGCCAACCUAGCAGUUCAAAAACAUGCAAAUGUGAGUAGAUCAAUAGGUACCGCUCCGGCGGGAAGGUAACGGUGCUCCAUGCAGUCAUGCCGGCCACAUGACCUUGGAGGUGUCUAUGGACAACGCCAGCUCUUCGGCUUAGAAAUGGAGAUGAGCACCAACCCCCAGAGUCAGACACGACUGGACUUAACAUCAGGGGAAACCUUUAUCUUUACUACCACCAUCAUAGGCAUGUUUUUGAGGACUCAGAAAAGAACUUUCUUGGUGGCUGCUCCCAGGCUGUUGAUACCUUCCUUGUACAGUUAGGUUGGUUACACAAGACCUUUUUGUUUACCUAGGUCUUUGAUUAUUAACAGGCUUUUGCCAAAGGAUUUUAACUGGUGAAGAUUAUUGUUUUAUUGUUUAAAAGAUUUAAUUUUUUUAUAAAUAUAUAACAUUUUAAUAUAACUAUUUAAUAUUUUUCCUUUCAUUAUACCCCCUUGUUAUAGCAGCUCCAUUGGCUGCCAGUCUGUUCCUGGACACAAUUCAAAAUGCUGGUUAUGACCUUUAAAGCCCUAGACGAUUCAGGUCCAGGCUGUUUGGCUGACCAUAUUCCCUUGUACGAACGUGCCAGGGCCCUGAGAUCUUCAGGGGAGGCCCUUCUUUCAGUCCCACUUCCAUCAAAUAAUAAUAGCUUAUACUGUAAGCUUUGCUUCCAUGGUGCAGAAAAGGCAGUAUAGAAAUUAAACAAUAAACAAAUAUUUUGCUUUGUUUACAUGUGAAACUAGCAUAGACUAGCUAGAAACUGUCCUCACACUUUAAACAAGGGGAUGAUAGGGAGGAAUGUAAUGACAAGCAUGGCUUUGUAUGUGGGCUGGAAUGUGUAUUUUAGAGGUAACUAUUCUUAGAAAUAGAUUCUAUGUUUUAGACACAAUGCAAGUUUGAAAAAAAAGUCUUCAAAGCUGGUAUUCAUUACAUUUCUGUGAAAUGAACCUGCAGCCAACAACAGUUAGUGAUUAAUUGAUAGUGCUUUGAAGCCAGUUAUAACAUUUAUUAAAACUGAUAAGACAUCUGUGGUCAAAUGCAUUCUAUUAGUCCUAUUAAACAUACAGCCUUUGAUGCCUUUUCAAUUUCUUUUAAACCAGAUGUGGGCAAAGGAUGGGUCUUGUGGCCAUGUGUGAGCCCAAGCCUGUUUUUGUGGCCCUUGACUUCACCAAUGCUCACAUAAUGGCUUUUUUCUGUCCUAUUUUAAACAGUGUUAAUUUUCCAAUACUUUUGCAGGUUUGUGAUCCCACCAGUUCUUUACUGCUGGGAGGUGAUACUUGAGGCAUAAGUUCCAAUGAAUCAUUUGGGCCACAUAGUUGUGCCUCUGUUUGUAGUCUGUCUGCGAUUUUCUUACAGCAGCUGAGGAUAUGAUCAAUGGUUUUGUCGGUUUCCUUGCACAGUCUGCAUUUUGGGUCAUCAGCUGAUUUUUCGAUCUUGGUCUUAAUUGCAUCAUCAUCAUCAUCAUCAUCAUCAUCGUCAUCAUUAUUUUAUUUCUUACCCCCCUCUCCUCAUGGCUUGAGACAGGUUAUAUGAAAUUUAAUAUUGUACCUUAUCGUUUUUUUUAAAAAAAAAUGAAGAUACUACUCUCUGAAUAGAGUGGCAAAAGACAUGAGCUUAGCAUGUUCUUGAAAAACUCAAAAGCGUUCGCCCGCAGUACUCUUUUAACUAUGACAGGGAAGCACCAAAGAGCCACUGACAUUUUCUUGCCCAGGCUGAUAUGGCAUCUUACAUUGACCCCUAAAUAAACCAACCCAGGUUUUUUGGGUUGAUGUUUUGUCUAUUUUUCUAUUUAUUUUUCUACUUUUGUUUCUAUACAAGUUUAUACAGUAAUCGUAGUUACUUAAAAAUAUAUAAAUAAAACUAAGUAGGGUUGUGGAAAAUCAUGUCCAUUUCUCUGUCUUCUCUUUUGAUUUUCACAUAAUCAGCUCUCUUAUUGUCUCAACAAAGCAUGCCUCUGUUGUAUUCAUAGUCUCUCCCCAUGGCCUGAGCAACAUCUGUUUUUCCUGCCACCAUUGGCAACUCGUGCCUUCCAAGUAUGGUGGAACAGAGGGUGAGUUAAAGAGGUCACCAGACAGAAAAGCAGGCAGUCCCAAUUUUCCCCCUUUUGCCCAUCUUCCUUGCCAUUUAUCUCUUUUUUUUUUAUAAAUUAUACAAUUGCUUUAUGGAUAUUUCUUAAUUUCCCUUGGAAUCUAGAAGAUUGCCAGUCAGCAGCUGGUGAUCAAAAAGGAAAAAUGUUCUUUACAUGUAGUUCUCUUGCACAGGAAGCAUAAUGAGAAAUAUAAGACAUCUGUUUGCCUACUUGAUGGAUGCUUGGGAGAACCCAUAUAAGAAUACAUAAUAGACUAUGGUGAAAGGUGGCUCACAAAAAGAACCAAUUAAAAACAUAAUAAUAAAUAAUAAAAAGCAGCCACUUAGAAGACUCUUUCUCAUAUCUAUAUGUCCUCACCAAGCAAGCUUGAGAUAGCUGCAGGACAGAGAAAUAAUUAAGUCACAUUCAUAGGAUGUUUUUUUAAAUAGUUGUUUUGUUCACACUUGAUUCAUUUUCAAGUGGAGAAAUGAUGGGAAAUUGCUAGACUACUGCAUAUGUUUAUGUAUAUUUAGAAAUUUUAUUCAAAAAUUCAACCCCCAAACCUGGGUUAUCCAAAGGUCAGUGUAAGUGCUGUAUCUUAACUCUUAUUUUUUUUUAUAAAAAACUAUUCCCUUCUCUGAUUAGAGUGGUGAAUGGAGAACCUAAAAGAAGCACUGACCCACUCUAUGCUUUCCACCAAGUUGCUGCUUCCGGCAUUUUUUACUACCUGUGUUGAAAAAUGGCUGCAGCUGGCAGUGCCUGCUGGCCCCCUAAGACUGUGCUAGUGCUUUCCCCUCUCCACAGAAUGAUCCUUAUCCAGAGGUCAUAUCAAAAGCCAUAGUUUUGGACCCAAAGCCUACCCUAAAGUAAAUAUGGUAUAUCCUCUGGGGCCUUAGAUUAUAAAAUAUUGAAUGGACAAUCUUGUAGAAUUACCUCAAAGGAAACCAGUAUUUCACAGUGAAUGCCCCAGUAACACCUCUGUGAUUGGAUACUGAAAUAACCAACCUUUUUGAAAGCUGCUCUACAGCUUGACCGAGGCCUUACCGAGCAAGUAUUCUGAUCAAGGUACACCUUAUGAACAAUGUGAAGGUUGGUAAUGGCCCCCAGCGAUCCAAAGCAGGUGGUAAAACAUCUGAACUGUCACAUUUAUUGCAUAAUCAAACACAGCUUUGCAAAGUUUUCUGACCUUUUCCCUUCCUUUUCUUGGGGUUCUUUUCAACUUGUUUUAAACUUUCUAAUACAGUAGUUAUAAGUUGACAGUUAUGAAAAUUGCUUUUCAUAACUGCACUUCGUUUCAGUUCUCCCAUUUUCUGGCUGUGGGAAGAGAAGAGCAGGAACCAAUGAGGAAUAAAUAUUGACAAUUCCAGCCAGAUGAUUCCUGUUGAAUAACUGACCAAUCAGGGACUUGGAGCAGCAAUAACAACAGCUUCUGUGUCAGACCAAUGAGAAAGUGUGCUAGGUGGAUUGCAAUCUCAUUGCAGCUUUAUGAAGAUGCUGCUGUGUUUUUAAGGUGUGCUUACACUACAUCUUGCACGACUGGACUUAACGUCAGGGGAAAACCUUUACCUUACACUAUAUCUGGGGAGUGAGAUGCCUCCCGAGUUUGUGCAAAAAAAAAAGAGAGAGAGAGAGAGAGAGAGAGAGAGAGAGAGAAAUACAAUAGUUACAAGAGUAGAUGUAGAUAGAUUUUGGUUACAAUAAGUGACUUAUCAUUGGGGAAACAUGCAUCAGAGACUACAGUCAGAAUUGUAAUUAGGCAAAUUUGCGGUCAUAGCGGUACAUUUUAAUUCACACACACAGCCUUUAUUGGUAUACAACAACAUAAUUAGCACACAACACUGGUAAAUACAAGGGAAAAUCACAGAUUAAAAAAUUCUUAAAAGUUACUAAUCUCAGGGAUAAAAUUUGCAACAGUCUCACAAAAGAAUACAUCAGAGUUGUUCAGAAGAUACUGAAUUUUAUAACACCCCUGCUAUUGAGAAUACUAUGAAAGAAUGGAAUUCCUGUAUUUCAUCCAUAUAUUAUGAUAUUUGGGGCAAACAAACAAAGAAUGGUGAAGUAUUUCAACAGAGACCAAGUCACAAGGACAAACCUUUUUGGAAUGUUCCUCUUUUUUAUAUCUCCCAUCACAAGAGCUGAUGGCAACACAUUACAUCUUGCAGUCACAAAAGCUCUCCUCUGGGUGGGAUUAAUCAAAAUGUGAAGAUAUGGUGCCAUGACGCCACGGUCACAUUGAAUUAAUGAUGCGGUAGGGGGACAAGUUGUCUCUGCUGCAAGAGUCAGAUUAUGGAAGUCAAGAUCCAAAAGUCUGUUCUUAACUGACUUGCAGGCUUCCAUAUUUGUGAGCUUUAAGAGUGCUUCCAAAGACAGGCCAAUUGUUUCGAUCUUUCUGAGAAUCAAAGAAUACCAUUCUGAAAUAAAAUGAUCUGAUAACAGAGAGGGAAUAUAGCUAUUGAGGUUUGCUUGAAAAUGUAUAUGCAACCAGAAUUUUAUAGCUUUCAUCCAUGCCAAGGUUUCAAGAGUGGAUUGACCUAUCUUAAUGCAUAGAACAGCGUAAGGCACACAUUUAGGGAGCCCCAUUAGUUUCUGGAGAAACUUUGAAUUCAGUGUAUUAAAUGAUUUAAUACAUUUUAAUUAAAUGUAUUUCAUUCUGUGCACAAUGAAUGUCAGAUAUUACUGUAUAAGCUGAGUUUUUCAGCUGAAAAAGCCCCCCUUGGCUUAUACUUGAGUGAGGGUCCUGGUGGAAAGGCAGGGGGCUGAAAGAAGCCCUUAUUUCAGCCCCAUGCCUUCUCGCCAGAACCCUAAUCUCUCCGCACAGCAACCCAGCACCUUCCUUCCUCUUCCUCUCUUUUGCGUGCACUUUCCUUCCUCUUCCCCAGCUACCCAUUUUCCACUUAUUUUCCCACUUUUUCAACCACACCACCCCAUUCCAACCUUUUCCCAUUUCCAGUCUUUCUUUCCCACCCCCUUCCCAAGCCAGUCUUCCCCACUUUUCCUGAUUUAUAUACACAGCAUUUUCCCUAAAAUAUAUACCGUAGUUAAAAUAAACAACUAUGUUGUUGUUGUUGUUCUUGUUGUUACAUGUAUUAUGUUACUCUAAUUAUUAUUGUUAUUAUUACAGUAUUACAUUUAUUAUUUUUACUCCAUUAUUAUUGGAAGGAUAUGUAAGUACAUUUACAUUGAAGGUUAGAAUAAUGAUUUAAUCAGAGUUGGACAGUUUUAUCUUAAAUUACAGUUUUAUGUAAAUAUUCAAAAACAUUUAACCUACCAAUGCCUCAAUUUAUGUAAUUUUAUUGGUAUCUAUUUUUAUUUUUGAAAUUUACCAGUAGCUGCUGCAUUUCCCACCCUUGGCUUAUACUUGAGUCAAUACGUUUUCCCAGUUUUUGUGGUAAAAUUAGGUGCCUUGGCUUAUAUUCGGGUUGGCUUAUACUCGAGUAUAUACGGCAAUUUACCUGCUCUCAGCAAGAGCAAAAUUCCUCUUGAGUCUCCCCAGAAGUGAAAUAAAAAGGACACUAAUAUUUGUGAGCAUAAACGAAACUCUCAUAUCACACAUUGUUCAUAAACUGCUUUUUCAGCUGUGACCAAAUUCUCUCGAAAUACCUCUGAAAAAUCUGCUAUUUGAGAACGUCUUUAAGUGCAGAGUUUCAGUGAUAAACCUUUAUUUGAAUACACCCCAGCCCACUAUGUCAUUCACUCCUUUAGAUUGUUGUAUAGCUGCCACACCCAAGUAGGAUUGAAGAGUUUUAACAUUUCCUGUUCAUCAUCUCCUGGAACCAGUUUUUAAUUCCAAAAUCCAUUUGCAUCUUGAUUGCAUCAUUCACAAAGGAGUAGUUUUAUGAUUAUCCUAAAUUUCACACAUUUUAUUUAUUUUUACAGCUGUGCCAAAUUUAUUCAGAACACAGAGACCAGUAUAAAACUUCCCUAAGAAUUUAGCACUUGAAAUUGUGCUAAACCAGUAAAUUAACAUGCAUUGUUCUAAAUGAGAAUCAACUACUUGGUUGAUGAUUUUAUAAUACGUUUUGAACCAUGGAAUGAAUCGGGGAUUAAAGGACAGGUUUCCAUAUCAUAAAGAUAGUUUCCAGAAAAAUUAGCAAGAAAGCUUUAUUCCUUGAGCAUAUUUUUCCCCCCUGGUUUAGUAACCAGGAAAGUUGCUUUCCUUCUUCUAACCCAAUCUUUACACGGGUGUUAUUUAAACUGCAGAAGUUUUUCAUCCAGUCAUGUGAAUGAAUCCACAGGUAAAGCAGCUUGUUAUCCUGGAAUGAGUAACAGUUGUCAGGCUGACGUCAGAAGUUACUGAUCUAGGUGGCAGGUUAAGUGGCAAAUAUUUUGCUUGUUCGCCUUUCUAUCACAUCCAUGCUUUCAACAAUCAAAAAUUAUUCUAAGGGAGUUUGAAUUAUCCCCAGUUCUUUUCAGCUUGAGCAAUUGGUUUAGGUAAUGAGAGAAGAUAAUGUGGUACCAUGGAUACAAGGUCAAGAACAAGCCAUGAGAGAACACAGAAAUGCUGGACCAUGCUGCCUCUGUGUACAUGUGCUCUUCAGAAAUGUGCUAGAAAAAAGGUGGCAGAUUGCUACCAUGACCUCUCGUGCUCUUCUGUUGUUUCUCUAUAGCCCCUCAGUGUAUUUCCUUUACCUCUAAGGAUGAAAUGAAAUGAGUUGGAGCAGGAUAUGGGCAGCAGACCAUUGAAUAUUACUUGAUAACUUUGAAUGAACCUAUCUCUUUAAAGAUACAUUUUUAAAAGCUUUUUAUAGUCCCUUGUUGCAAAUACUUUAAAAGUAAUUUAAACCUAAUUAUUGGCAGUUACCUUGUUUUUCUCACCGGAAAUGUUUCUGCUCAUUGAUCGAAAAACUGUAGCAACAUUUGAGUAAAAACACACUAUGAAAAAGGCUGUCUUUCUGAGCAGCUAUACAUAAAUUGUUGUCUUUGUGUACCUUCAAGUUGUUUGAAUGAAAAGCAAGAGAUUUUGAGAAAUGCUUUAGAAUCAAGCUUAGCAGUGUGUUCCAUUUGUUAUUCUGUUCUUCUGAGUACUAAGGCUUGUCAGUGAUACUUAUACAGUGAAUAAUUAGUUCAUAUUUUAUAUCAGCCCAGACAGUUAUGCAUAGAUACAUAAAUGCUGUGUUAAAUUUUCCAUGGAGAAAUAUAUAAUAGCUUUGGAAUAUUUUGUUUAACUACUGUUUUGGAAACACCUCAAAUUUUUGCCAGAGAGUAAUGGAAAUUGUAUAUGAAAUCUUUUAUGGUGCACCAGGUUAAAGAAAACUAAUCUACAGGUUUUCCUGGCAUCUAUAAAAACUCUUGAAUAGAUGACAUUAUUAAAAGUCUGUAGUCUAAAACUUUUUGGUUACUUUCAACUAAACUCCUUGAAUAAAUGUGAUAUGUGUGUCGAGAAUUAGUAUGGUAGAGUAGUUGACUAGUAGGUCUCUGGCUGACCAGAGUCUGAAUUCCCACUCAGCCAUAGAAAUCACUUGGGCAAAGCAUACAGUAGAGUCUCACUUAGCCAACACUCGCUUAUCCAACGUUCUGGAUUAUCCAACGCAUUUUUCUAGUCAAUGUUUUCAAUAUAUCAUGAUAUUUGGUGCUAAAUUCAUAAAUAUAUUAAUUACUACAUAGCAUUACUGCGUAUUUAACUAUUUUUUCUGUCAAAUUUGUUGUAUAACAUGAUGUUUUGGUGCGUAAUUUGUAAAAUCAUAACCUAAUUUGAUGUUUAAUAGGCUUUUCCUUAAUGCCUUCUUAUUAUCCAACAUAUUUGCUUAUCCAACGUUCCGCUGACCCGUUUAUGUUGGAUAAGUGAGACUCUACUGUACUUCCUCAAUCUGAGGAAUACAGUAGCAAACCCACUGAGGCUGGAUCUACACUGCCAUAUAAUACAGAUUUUCGAAGCAUAUAAUCCAAGACUUUUCAUUGUUUUAAUUGCAUAGCACAUCAUUUCUUAGAACUGAACUUUUUACCUUGGACAUAGACAAUAGCAACUGGCAAGUCAGUGAAAAGAAGGGUGUGGAAUAUAGUGGAUAUUUUCAUGAUACAUUUCCAACAAAACUUGUUCCACCUGUUGACCAAGGUGAUGAAUGUUUGAACAGUAUGCAUGGCUAGCAGAAUCUGUUCAGAAUAUUGCUAUGAAAGACAGUGUGUUAGUCAGAGUAUGAAUCAUGGUGUAUACAUUGUUGAAGGAACAGGCUAGAGAGAACAAAAUAAUAAACUGUUAAUUUAGCUUUGGAAUUAAGUAGGUUAUAGUGAUAAUAACACCAAACCUGGGGGGAAAUACCUUUGUAUUGAAGUCUGCAUGAUUCUUUGCUCCUAUGAGUAUUAUUUGAUUACCCAAUCCUGUGCAUGUUUACUUAGGAAUACAUCUCAACUAAACGUCCACAGGAUUUCAACCCUAAUAUUUUUUGUUCAAUAAUAAAUGAAUUACAGGUACAAUAGUUUUGGUCUGCACACAAUUUAUUGUUCCUUUUCAGCUGUCCUGACAAAGUUACUCCAGUGGGUUUUUUUCCUGGAUAUUUUUUUCUUGGAAAUAUGUGAAAGAAAGAAAGAAAGAAAGAAAGAAAGAAAGAAAGAAAGAAAGAAA